AGUGAACGCUGGCGGUAGGCCUAACACAUGCAAGUCGAACGGCAGCACAGUAAGAGCUUGCUCUUACGGGUGGCGAGUGGCGGACGGGUGAGGAAUACAUCGGAAUCUACUUUUUCGUGGGGGAUAACGUAGGGAAACUUACGCUACUACCGCAUACGACCUACGGGUGAAAGCAGGUGAUCUUCGGACCUUGCGCGACAGAAUGAGCCGAUGUCGGAUUAGCUAGUUGGCGGGGUAAAGGCCCACCAAGGCGACGAUCCGUAGCUGGUCUGAGAGGAUGAUCAGCCACACUGGAACUGAGACACGGUCCAGACUCCUACGAGAGGCAGCAGUGGGGAAUAUUGGACAAUGGGCGCAAGCCUGAUCCAGCCAUACCGCGUGGGUGAAGAAGGCCUUCGGGUUGUAAAGCCCUUUUGUUGGGAAAGAAAAGCAGCAGGUUAAUACCCCGCUGUUCUGACGGUACCCAAAGAAUAAGCACCGGCUAACUUCGUG
rnacentral:rRNA from 1 species